rnacentral:rRNA from 1 species
GAGAUGUGUGAUGACGCAUAUCAAUAAGCGGAGGAAAAGAAACUAACAAGGAUUCCCUUAGUAACGGCGAGUGAAGCGGGAAGAGCUCAAAUUUGAAAUCUUCAAGGUUCUACCUUGACGAAUUGUAGUUUAUAAGAAGUGUUUUCUGUUAGUAGGAGUGGCAAAAGUUCUUUGGAAUAGGACAUCAUAGAGGGUGAGAAUCCCGUAUUUGGUCAUUCCUCCUAGCUUUGUGAUACACUUUCAACGAGUCGGAUUGUUUGGGAAUGCAGUCCAAAAUGGGUGGUAAAUUUCAUCUAAAGCUAAAUAUUGGCGAGAGACCGAUAGCGUACAAGUACCGUGAGGGAAAGAUGAAAAGAACUUUGAAAAGAGAGUUAAACAGUACGUGAAAUUGUCAAAAGGGAAGCGUUUGACACCAGUGUUGUUUUUCCGAAAAUCAAUUACGAAUGUUUUAUUUUUGAGGAAGUUAUGACUUCAUCGGCUUGCUUCUCUCUUUAUGAAACUUUCUUAAUGCACUUUUCGGUUAACAAGUCAACAUCAAUUUCUUUUGUUGUAAAAGGGUAUGAGGAAGGUGGCUUUCUUUUCGGAGAAAGUGUUUAUAGCCUUGUACCUCUGCAAUCGGAGAGAUUGAGGUCUGCAGCGUAGAUCCUUCGGGGUUAGAUACAUUUGUGCUAAGCUAUAGUUCUUUAUAGACAACUUGUUGACUAUAGUCUAGUCCUGUAGCUUACUCGCUUAUGCUAUUUUACCUACGCUUAGGAUGUUGAGUCGUAGAGCACGCAG